UUGAUAGGAUAGUUCAUCGCGGUGUAGAAAGUACAUCGAGGAAAGUCCGGACAACGUAGAGUACUACACCAUCUAACAAAUGGACUCCAAUUUAUUGGUGAUAGAGAGUGUCGCAGAAAAUAACCGCUAUUCUUCGGAAAGUAAGGGUGAAAAUAUGAGGUAAGAGCUCAUGGGGUGUUAUGGCAAUGUAGCACGCGGAUAAACCUUGUAGGUUGAAAUGUCAUGUACAUUAUGGGUUGAAGGCUACUCGCCUGAGAAACGUUGUUUCACCAUAAGGGGUAGGCAGAGAAGAUAAAUGAUGAACACCAGUUUACUGGGACAGAAUCCGGCUUAUUUCCUAUCUUUUUU
rnacentral:RNase_P_RNA from 1 species